rnacentral:rRNA from 1 species
GACGAACGCUGGCGGCGUGCUUAACACAUGCAAGUCGAACGGUGAACCUCUUCGGAGGGGCUCAGUGGCGAACGGGUGAGUAACACGUGGGCAACCUGCCCCCGACCCUGGGAUAACUCCAAGAAAUUGGGGCUAAUACCGGAUGUUCACCGCUUCCCGCCUAGGUGGUGGUGCAAAGGGUUUCCGGCUGGGGAUGGUCCCGCGGCCCAUCAGCCUGUUGGUCGGGUAGUGGCCUUCCAAGCCCACGACGGAUAGCCGGCAUGAGAGGGUUACCGGCCACACGGGGACUGCGACACGGCGCAGUGUCCUACGUGAGGCAGCAGUGGCGAACAUUGCGCAGUGAGCGGGAGCCUGUCGCGGCGACGCCGCGUUGGGGAUGACGGCCUGCGGGGUGUAAACCGCAGUCAGCAGGGACGAAGCGGAAGUGACGGUACCUGCAGAAGAAGCACCGGCUAACUACGUG